AGACAGGCAGGCCCCUUGGCUCUAUUUUGUGUUCUGGUACAACCGGGAGAGGCAGCCUUGGGUUGUCAGCCGAGCACCUCUGGAUCACAUGGAAGGAUUUUGCCAGCUUUGAGAAUCCUGAGAAUUAAAAUGGUCAACCAAGGAAUAAAUACAGAAUUAAUUCAUCUUGGAAACAAGGAUGGUGUCUAUCUCCAGGCUCUGCUGAGUUGUAAAAUUAAGUGGAUAUAAAAACACAA